GACGAACGCUGGCGGCGUGCUUAACACAUGCAAGUCGAACGAAGAGCGAUGGAAGCUUGCUUCUAUCAAUCUUAGUGGCGAACGGGUGAGUAACGCGUAAUCAACCUGCCCUUCAGAGGGGGACAACAGUUGGAAACGACUGCUAAUACCGCAUACGAUCUAACCUCGGCAUCGAGGAUAGAUGAAAGGUGGCCUCUACAUGUAAGCUAUCACUGAAGGAGGGGAUUGCGUCUGAUUAGCUAGCUGGAGGGGUAACGGCCCACCAAGGCGAUGAUCAGUAGCCGGUCGGAGAGGAUGAACGGCCACAUUGGGACUGAGACACGGCCCAGACUCCUACGGGAGGCAGCAGUGGGGAAUCUUCCGCAAUGGACGAAAGUCUGACGGAGCAACGCCGCGUGAGUGAUGACGGCCUUCGGGUUGUAAAGCUCUGUUAAUCGGGACGAAAGGCCUUCUUGCGAAUAGUGAGAAGGAUUGACGGUACCGGAAGAGAAAGCCACGGCUAACUACGUG
rnacentral:rRNA from 1 species